rnacentral:lncRNA from 1 species
AAAGAACCCCGCACUACAGAAUAGAUGGUGUUGGUAGAAAGUUUAGUGUAGACAGCUCCCAGUCAGAACACGCUGAAAUGGCCUGAUACAGCAGUCUAGGAAUUACCUCAAGGGAUAUUUGCAGAGAGUCAGCUAUAACUCCACCCACAGCUUCUUAAUUCUUUGUGCCCUAGGCAUUCUCUGGCCUUCAGGGCCACUAACCAGCACAGGGAAGUUUCCUCUGAACGGGGAGUUGGAGUUAAUGGCCAAGGCACUAGAACUGGUGGAUAAAUAUGUCAGUCCCUGUAUUCCUCAGUAGCGUAAAAAUUUUGUGUUGUAUUAAGUACACAGUUCCUUGAGGAGCUAGGAAGGGACUCAUAACUGUUAGCUGUG